rnacentral:rRNA from 1 species
GACGUAGGGGGCAAGCGUUGUCCGGAAUCAUUGGGCGUAAAGAGCGUGUAGGCGGCCCGAUAAGUCCGCUGUGAAAGUCCAGGGCUCAACCCUGGAAUGCCGGUGGAUACUGUCGGGCUCGAAUCCGGAAGAGGUGAGUGGAAUUCCUGGUGUAGCGGUGAAAUGCGCAGAUAUCAGGAGGAACACCAAUAGCGAAGGCAGCUCGCUGGGACGUUACUGACACUAAGGCGCGAAAGCGUGGGGAGCGAACAGG